rnacentral:rRNA from 1 species
UACGGAGGAUCCAAGCGUUAUCCGGAUUCAUUGGGUUUAAAGGGUGCGUAGGCGGAAUGAUAAGUCAGUGGUGAAAUCCCUUCGCUUAACGAAGGAACUGCCAUUGAUACUGUCAAUCUUGAGUACAUUUGAUGUGGGCGGAAUGUGUCAUGUAGCGGUGAAAUGCUUAGAUAUGACACAGAACACCGAUUGCGAAGGCAGCU